GACAAACGCUGGCGGCGUGCUUGACACAUGCAAGUCGAACGGAAAGGCCCUGCUUUUGUGGGGUGCUCGAGUGGCGAACGGGUGAGUAACACGUGAGUAACCUGCCCUUGACUUUGGGAUAACUUCAGGAAACUGGGGCUAAUACCGGAUAGGAGCUCCUGCUGCAUGGUGGGGGUUGGAAAGUUUCGGCGGUUGGGGAUGGACUCGCGGCUUAUCAGCUUGUUGGUGGGGUAGUGGCUUACCAAGGCUUUGACGGGUAGCCGGCCUGAGAGGGUGACCGGCCACAUUGGGACUGAGAUACGGCCCAGACUCCUACGGGAGGCAGCAGUGGGGAAUAUUGCACAAUGGGCGGAAGCCUGAUGCAGCAACGCCGCGUGCGGGAUGACGGCCUUCGGGUUGUAAACCGCUUUCGCCUGUGACGAAGCGUGAGUGACGGUAAUGGGUAAAGAAGCACCGGCUAACUACGUG
rnacentral:rRNA from 1 species